GGUGCAAACAAGGAGCAACUGUGUCAGAGGAAUAUGGGAAACCCAGGGGGUGGAGUGCACCCAAAAGUCAGUGCGUCGCAGCCCUACUCCACCUCCCCUGCAGCAGGUCCCAUGGAUGCAGCAGUCACCCAGAAGCCAAGAUACCAUAUUAUACGAGCAGGAAACAAGAUGGUCCUGGAUUGUUCUCAGCAUAUGAACCAUUUGGGAAUGUUCUGGUAUCGGCAAGAUCUGGGACAGGGGCCGAGGCUGAUCCAUUAUUCAAAUGGCGUCGGUAGCACUGGCGAAGGGGAUGUCACGGAGGGGUACAGUGUCUCCCGAAACAAGAAUGAACAUUUCCCCCUGACCCUGGAGCCGGCCAGCACCAAACAGACCUCCCUGUACCUCUGUGCCAGCAGUGAAUCCACAGCACGGCACAGUCAGCUGCUCUCCGCACAAAAAGCUCAGCCACAGGCGUGAGGUGGACACUUCUUCCUGAGGCCACGUCUCACCAGGGGAGAAAAACUGCUCUUUCUGAAGCUCUCACCAGACUAGUGUGAACUGAGGUCCAUCAGCGUGAGGGGUGUGAGUGUGAGUGUGUGUGUGUGUUUGUGAGUGUGUGUGUGUGUGUGCGUGCUCUAAUUUGAAAAGACACAUGACCCCAAU